rnacentral:tRNA from 2 species
GUAGAUAUAGUUUUAAUUAAAAUAUUAGAUUGUGAUUCUAAAGAUCGGGGUUAAAACCCCCUUAUCCACC